GACGAACGCUGGCGGCGUGCUUAACACAUGCAAGUCGAACGGAAAGGCCCUGCUUUUGUGGGGUGCUCGAGUGGCGAACGGGUGAGUAACACGUGAGUAACCUGCCCUUGACUUUGGGAUAACUUCAGGAAACUGGGGCUAAUACCGGAUAGGAGCUCCUGCUGCAUGGUGGGGGUUGGAAAGUUUCGGCGGUUGGGGAUGGACUCGCGGCUUAUCAGCUUGUUGGUGGGGUAGUGGCUUACCAAGGCUUUGACGGGUAGCCGGCCUGGGAGGGUGACCGGCCACAUUGGGACUGAGAUACGGCCCAGACUCCUACGGGAGGCAGCAGUGGGGAAUAUUGCCCAAUGGGCGGAAGCCUGAUGCAGCAACGCCGCGUGCGGGAUGACGGCCUUCGGGUUGUAAACCGCUUUCGCCUGUGACGAAGCGUGAGUGACGGUAAUGGGUAAAGAAGCACCGGCUAACUACGUG
rnacentral:rRNA from 1 species